UACGGGGGGAGCAAACGUUGUUCGGAAUCACUGGGCGUAAAGGGCGUGUAGGCGGUUCUGUAAGUGGUGUGUGAAAUCCGAUGGCUCAACCAUCGAGCUGCGCUCCAUACUGCAGGACUUGAGUACAGCAGAGGAAAGUGGAAUUCCCGGUGUAGCGGUGAAAUGCGUAGAUAUCGGGAGGAAUACCAGUGGCGAAGGCGGCUUCCUGGCCUGUUCUUGACGCUGAGGCGCGAAAGCUAGGGUAGCAAACGGG
rnacentral:rRNA from 1 species